AAUUUUGAUCAGAGCCAAUUUGAAUGCACAUCGACAUCCUUUGAGGAGUUAGCUAGCACUACAUUUGGUGUUGAUACUGCACAAGAUACUGCUAGAGGAGAUACUGCUAGAGGAUCUGAUGAGCAUAUGGUGGAUCUGGACCACGUCCCGGGGACAAGAGAGAUACUGCUAGAGGAUCUGAUGAGCAUAUGCAUGAGACAGGUGGAUCUGGACCACGUCCCGGGGACAAGAGAGAUACUGCUAGAGGAUCUGAUGAGCA